AGAGUUUGAUCCUGGCUCAGAACGAACGCUGGCGGCGUGGAUAAGACAUGCAAGUCGAACGCGACUUAUCUGGUUAGCAAUAACUAGGUAAGUUGAGUGGCGAAAGGGUGCGUAACACGUGGGAAUUUACCAAAAAGUGGGGAAUAGCUCGGCGAAAGCCGAAUUAAUACCGCAUGUGAUCGAAAGAUCAAAGCCGGGGACCGCAAGGCCUGGCGCUUUUUGAGAAGCCCGCGGCCCAUCAGCUAGUUGGCGGGGUAACGGCCCACCAAGGCUAUGACGGGUAGCUGGUCUGAGAGGACGACCAGCCACACUGGAACUGAGACACGGUCCAGACACCUACGGGUGGCAGCAGUCGAGAAUUUUUCACAAUGGACGAAAGUCUGAUGGAGCGACGCCGCGUGGAGGAUGAAGGUUCUUGGAUUGUAAA
rnacentral:rRNA from 1 species